rnacentral:rRNA from 1 species
GACGAACGCUGGCGGCGUGCUUAACACAUGCAAGUCGAACGGAAGGGCCCUGCUUUUGUGGGGUGCUCGAGUGGCGAACGGGUGAGUAACACGUGAGUAACCUGCCCUUGACUUUGGGAUAACUUCAGGAAACUGGGGCUAAUACCGGAUAGGAGCUCCUGCCGCAUGGUGGGGGUUGGAAAGUUUCGGCGGUUGGGGAUGGACUCGCGGCUUAUCAGCUUGUUGGUGGGGUAGUGGCUUACCAAGGCUUUGACGGGUAGCCGGCCUGAGAGGGUGACCGGCCACAUUGGGACUGAGAUACGGCCCAGACUCCUACGGGAGGCAGCAGUGGGGAAUAUUGCACAAUGGGCGGAAGCCUGAUGCAGCAACGCCGCGUGCGGGAUGACGGCCUUCGGGUUGUAAACCGCUUUCGCCUGUGACGAAGCGUGAGUGACGGUAAUGGGUAAAGAAGCACCGGCUAACUACGUG